CGCUCGGAGGGGCCGUCGCUUUCUGGGCGUUACACACAGCGAUUGCUGACUCGCCCAGCUGUGAAGCAACGAGUUCUUCAGAGACAGUCUCAUACGCUGUAUUUGGGAGAAAAAAGAGAGUUGAAGUUGAUAGUUACAGAACCUGGAAAGGCACUAGCUGCUGAAGAGAAGGCAUCUGAAGAAAAAUCAGUUCCCACAAAGGGUCUGGAUGCCACAAGUAAUCUUCAAACAAAAGUUGUUGCAGAAGCCUUGCAGAAAGCAGAGAGUUUUGUUCCAAACAGUGAGCUCCGGGAGGAAGCUGGCUCUGCGGAGAAGAUUGCAGAGAAGUCCACAGAGCCAUUGCCUUCGGUAGUGUUGGAAAACAUACAAGGAU
rnacentral:lncRNA from 1 species